UUUGUUAAGGUUUAAGAAAAGGUUUAUGGUUUAGAGGAAACAACACGGUUAAAGUUUUAGGUUUGAAAUUUAGAGUUUGUGGCGAAAUUGUCAGGGUUUAGGAAAAAUCAGGGUAGUUAGUUAUGAAAAAAAAUGUGCAGAUCUAAAUAUAUGUAUAUAAAAAAAAUAUGAAAAAAAAAAAACAACGGCGUUGCUAGCGCAAAAUUGCGAUCAUCGCAACUGGAUCGGAUAACACAAAUGUCAC
rnacentral:lncRNA from 1 species